rnacentral:rRNA from 1 species
AUUGAACGCUGGCGGCAGGCCUAACACAUGCAAGUCGAACGUGAAAACUCCUUCGGGAGUAAGUAGAGUGGCGAACGGGUGAGUAACGCGUAGAAAUCUACCCAAGAGUGGGGAACAACCCGGAGAAAUCCGGGCUAAUACCGCAUACACCCUACGGGGCAAAGUGGGGACCCUUCGGGGCCUCAUGCUUUUGGAUGAGUCUGCGUCGGAUUAGCUUGUUGGUAGGGUAAUGGCCUACCAAGGCGACGAUCCGUAGCUGGUCUGAGAGGAUGACCAGCCACACUGGGACUGAGACACGGCCCAGACUCCUACGGGAGGCAGCAGUGGGGAAUAUUGGACAAUGGGGGCAACCCUGAUCCAGCCAUGCCGCGUGUGUGAAGAAGGCCUUCGGGUUGUAAAGCACUUUCAGUAGGGAAGAAAAG